UACGGAGGGUGCGAGCGUUGUUCAGAAUCACUGGGCGUAAAGGGCGUGUAGGCGGUCCGUUAAGUCUGAUGUGAAAGCCCGGGGCUCACCCCCGGAAGGGCAUUGGAAACUGGCGGACUCGAGUCCCGGAGAGGAGAGUGGAAUUCCUGGUGUAGCGGUGAAAUGCGUAGAUAUCAGGAGGAACACCGGUGGCGAAGGCGGCUCUCUGGACGGUGACUGACGCUAAGACGCGAAAGCGUGGGGAGCAAACAGG
rnacentral:rRNA from 1 species